GUAGUGGCUCAGUGGUAGAGUGCUGGAUUGGCACACAUGAGGACUGGGUUCAAUCCUCAGCACAACA
rnacentral:tRNA from 1 species